GAGUGAAGGGGGAUUAGCCCAGCACCGAAGCCUGUGGCCGUUUGGCUGCUAGGCAAUGUGGUGUUCAGGUCGUCUCUUGGCAUUACUGCUCCAUCCCAAGUCCAGCACUGAGUAUGGCAUCUAAAUUGGCCCAUGGAGGGUGAAAGGCCCGUAGGGGUGGAGAUCAAGUCGGACAGUUUUGCCCUGAGUAGACCUUGGAGUCGGGUUGUUUGUGAAUGCAGCCCAAAGUGGGUGGUAAACUCCAUCCAAGGCUAAAUACUAGCACGAGUCCGAUAGCGAACAAGUACCGUGAGGGAAAGUUGAAAAGUACUUUGAAGAGAGAGUAAACAGUGCGUGAAACCGCUCAGAGGUAAACGGGUGGAGUUGAACUGUAAGCUCCGGGAAUUCAGCUGGUGAGUGUGUCAUGAGCUUGGUCAUUUUCGGCCGGCCUUUGGAGUCCGCUUAGCUGCGGGUCCCUGCUCUUUCGGGAGUAGGGGUGCACGUUGCACUUGCCAAGUGUUGUGCGCUCUGGAGGUUGCCGGGCUGGCUUGCCAGUGCACUUUCCCGGGGUGGUCACCACGACCGGCGUUGUUGUCUUGCUGCUAUAGUCGAACCGGCCAGGUUUGGUCCUUGUGGCUGAACUUGGUCGGGAUGGCAGGUAGCUCAUUGGUUGGCUUGCCAGCCCUUGGGUGUAAUCAGCUGGCUGUAGUGGUUCUGUGCAAUACGUCGGAGAUAGCGGCUUCAGGUAUGUGCUUGUGUUCUGUUAGCUGGCAGUGUCGGGUUUGACUGGCGUGUUUACCUGCUUCGGUGGGUCCGUCGGUAGCUCGAUGCUGUUCGGCUGGUGGUUGCAUUUGUGAUACCGUUCAUGGGCCUAUAGUCUGUGGUGUAGCAGCAAACGAUCCACCUGACCCGUCUUGAAACACGGACCAAGGAGUUUAACAUGUGCGCGAGUCAUUGGGCGUUACGAAACCCAAAGGCGUAGUGAAAGUAAAGGUUCGGCUUGUCUGAGCUGAGGUGAGAUCCUGUGGCUUCUCGUGCGAGGUACCACCAAGCAAGUGAGCUAUGGGCGCAUCACCGGCCCGUCUCAUGGUGUGGUCAUGUAGCCUUGUGUUGCGUGCAUCACCGGGGCGGAGCCUGAGCGCACACGUUGAGACCCGAAAGAUGGUGAACUAUGCUUGCGCAGGUUGAAGCCAGAGGAAACUCUGGUGGAGGACCGCAGCGAUUCUGACGUGCAAAUCGAUCGUCAAACGUGAGUAUAGGGGCGAAAGACUAAUC
rnacentral:rRNA from 1 species